rnacentral:rRNA from 1 species
AGGGUGUAAACGCUGCAGACUUGGUGUUGGGAACCCUUCGGGGGUGCUCAGUGCCGGAGAGAAGUUGUUAAGUCUGCUACUUGGGGAGUACGUCCGCAAGGAUGAAACUUAAAGGAAUUGGCGGGGGAGCACCGCAACGGGAGGAGCGUGCGGUUUAAUAGGAUUCAACGCCGAAAAACUCACCAGCAGCGACUGUUACAUGAAGGCCGAGAUGAAGACUCUGCCAGAUUUUUCAGAGAGGUGGUGCAUGGCGUCAGUGACU